rnacentral:misc_RNA from 1 species
UACGCUUCACAUGACCAAACCACUUCAAUCUCCCUUCUCUCAACUUAUUUUAGGAAUCGAAACUCGAAUCAGAACUAAAACCGAAGCAUCGAGAACCAAAUAGAAACUUGAAGAACAUAUUUGGAACCAUGCCAAAAGUUUAGUUCGAUUUUGGUGCCUAGAUUUUGGUGCUUAGGCAGAACUGAACUGGAACCGCACACCCCUUAUAAUGACCACUGUUCUGGCCAACAGGCCAAGUCAAAUAUGGUUUUGUAGUCACUCUCAAAUGAUGGGCUUUUUGCCCUCUCAAAUACCAUGGAUGAGAGACGCCAAAUGGAUUAGAUAUUGUAUCCUAAAACAACAGUAAGCUGGGAGCUGUUAUGGCAGAACCAUAACCUAG